GACGAACGCUGGCGGCGUGCUUAACACAUGCAAGUCGAACGGAAAGGCCCUUAGGGGUACUCGAGUGGCGAACGGGUGAGUAACACGUGGGUGAUCUGCCCUGCACUUUGGGAUAAGCCUGGGAAACUGGGUCUAAUACUGAAUAUGAUCAUCGGCAUCAUGGUCGGUGGUGGAAAGCUUUUGCGGUGUGGGAUGGGCCCGCGGCCUAUCAGCUUGUUGGUGGGGUAAUGGCCUACCAAGGCGACGACGGGUAGCCGGCCUGAGAGGGUGACCGGCGACACUGGGACUGAUAUACGGCCCAGCAUCCGACGGGAGGCAGCAGUGGGGAAUAUUGCACAAUGGGCGCAAGCCUGAUGCAGCGACGCCGCGUGAGGGAUGACUGCCUUCGGGUUGUAAACCUCUAUCAGCACAGACGAAGCGCAAGUGACGGUAUGUGCAGAAGAAGGACCGGCCAACUACGUG
rnacentral:rRNA from 1 species